rnacentral:rRNA from 1 species
UACAUGGGGUGCAAACGUUGCUCGGAAUUAUUGGGCGUAAAGCGCGCGUAGGCGGUUACUCAAGUCGGAUGUGAAAGCCCUCGGCUUAACUGAGGAAGUGCACCCGAAACUGAGUAGCUAGAGUACUAAAGAGGGUCGCGGAAUUCCCGGUGUAGAGGUGAAAUUCGUAGAUAUCGGGAGGAACACCGGUGGCGAAGGCGGCAUCCUGGACCGGCAUUGACGCUGAGGAGCGAAAGCCAGGGGAGCAAACGGGG